UGACGGUACUUGACUAAGAAGCCCCGGCUAACUACGUGCCAGCAGCCGCGGUAAUACGUAGGGGGCAAGCGUUAUCCGGAUUUACUGGGUGUAAAGGGAGCGUAGACGGUGUGGCAAGUCUGAAGUGAAAGCCCGGGGCUCAACCCCGGGACUGCUUUGGAAACUGUCGUACUAGAGUGCAGGAGAGGUAAGUGGAAUUCCUAGUGUAGCGGUGAAAUGCGUAGAUAUUAGGAGGAACACCAGAGGCGAAGGCGGCUUACUGGACUGUAACUGACGUUGAGGCUCGAAAGCGUGGGGAGCAAACAGGAUUAGAUACCCUG
rnacentral:rRNA from 1 species